rnacentral:rRNA from 1 species
AUUCCAAUCGAACUCGGAGAUAGCUGGUUCUCCCCGAAAUAGCUUUAGGGCUAGCCUCAUAUUAGAUACCCGGAGGUAAAGCACUGAAUGGCCUAGCGCCCGAGAGGGUAGCGAAGCCUAUCAAACUAAGAAUGCCGGAGUAUUGAUGUAUGGGAGUCAGACAGUGUGAGAUAAAUCUCAUUGUCAAAAGGGAAACAGCCCAGAUCUACAGCUAAGGUCCCAAAUUGUAUCUAAGUGGAAAACGAUGUGGAAAUACGCAGACAACCAGGAUGUUGGCUCAGAAGCAGCCACUCAUUUAAAGAGUGCGUAAUAGCUCACUGGUCGAGCGUCUCUGCGCGGAAAAUUUAACGGGGCUAAGAUACAAACCGAAGCUUAGGCUGCACGUAAGUGCGGGGUAGGGGAGCGUUGUGUAAGCGGAGAAACAGUAGCGUAAGCGGCUGUGGAGUUUACAGAAGUGAGAAUGCCGGAAUGAGUAGCGCGAAUGUGGUGAGAAUCCACAUGGCCGGAAACCUCAGGUUUUUGGAGGAAGGUUCGUCCGCUCCAAGUUAGGCGGGAGCUAAGGUCAGGCCGAAAGGCGUAGCCGAUGCACAGACGGUAGAGAUUCCGUCCCCACCGAAAGAUUUAAGCACAGGGACACUUUUUGAAGGUCGGAGCCAGGUGUUGGUUCUGGUAGUGAUCGAGGGAAAUAUAGUACCGAAGUCCGGCUGGAAGAGAGGCGAGAAAAGCUGUGUGUAUAUCUAAGGUGCCCGUACCGCAAACCGACACAGGUAGGUAGGAAGAAGAUUCUAAGGCCAACGGGAGAAGGGUUGUUAAGGAACUCGGCAAGUUGACCCCGUAACUUCGGAAUAAGGGGUGCUCACGAGAGUGAGCCGCAGAGAAUAGGCCCAGGCAACUGUUUACCAAAAACACAGGUUUGUGCUAAAUCGAAAGAUGACGUAUACGAGCUGACGCCUGCCCGGUGCUGGAAGGUUAAGAGGAGAUGUGCAAGCAUUGAAUCGAAGCCCCAGUGAACGGCGGCCGUAACUAUAACGGUCCUAAGGUAGCGAAAUUCCUUGUCAGGUAAGUUCUGACCCGCAUGAAAGGCGUAAUGAUUUGGGCACUGUCUCAACAGCCCGCCCGGCGAAAUUGUAGUACCGGUGAAGAUGCCGGUUACCCGCGACAAGACGGAAAGACCCCAUGGAGCUUUACUGUAGCCUGAUAUUGGGUUUCGGUGUUGCAUGCACAGGAUAGAUGGGACGCUGGGAAAGAAGCGCUUUGGCGUUUCUGGAGCGGACGUUGGGAUACCAUCCUUGCGACAUUGGAAUUCUAACCUGCGCCUCUGAAUCGAGGCGGGGGACAUUGUCAGGUGGGCAGUUUGACUGGGGCGGUCGCCUCCUAAAAAGUAGCGGAGGCGUUCAAAGGUUCGUUCGAUCUGGACGGAAACCAGAUGAUUGAGUGCAAACGCAUAAACGAGCCUGACUGCGAGACUGACGGGUCGAGCAGAGACGAAAGUCGGAGUUAGUGAUCCGGUGGUAUGUGAGUGGAAAUGCCAUCGCUCAACGGAUAAAAGUUACCCUGGGGAUAACAGGCUGAUCUCCCCCAAGAGUCCACAUCGACGGGGAGGUUUGGCACCUCGAUGUCGGCUCAUCGCAUCCUGGGGCUGUAUUCGGUCCCAAGGGUUUGGCUGUUCGCCAAUUAAAGCGGUACGCGAGCUGGGUUCAGAACGUCGUGAGACAGUUCGGUCCCUAUCUGUCGUGGGCGCAGGAUAUUUGAAAGGCGCUGUCCCUAGUACGAGAGGACCGGGAUGGACGAACCUCUGGUGCACCAGUUGUCACGCCAGUGGCACAGCUGGGCAGCUAUGUUCGGAUCGGAUAAACGCUGAAAGCAUCUAAGCGUGAAGCCGGCCUUAAGAUAAGAUAUCCCACUGAGUCAAUCAGGUAAGACCCCUUGAAGACUACAAGGUUGAUAGGCACACAGUGUAAGCGGAGUGAUCCGUUCAGCUAGCGUGUACUAAUAGGUCGAGGGCUUGACCCC